rnacentral:tRNA from 1 species
GUUGUUAAGUAGUUGCCGCUGACUCAUAAUCAGGGGGUCCUUGGUUCAAGUCCAAGUGGGACCACCA